CCUACGGGUGGCAGCAGUAGGGAAUUUUGCGCAAUGGGCGAAAGCCUGACGCAGCAACGCCGCGUGAUCGAGACGCCCUUCGGGGUGGAAAGAUCUGUCAGUGGGGACGAAACUUGACGGUACCCACACAGGAAGCAACGGCUAACUCCGUGCCAGCAGCCGCGGUAAUACGGGGGGGGCAAGCGUUGUCCGGAGUCAUUGGGCGUAAGGAGGUCGUAGGCGGCAAGGAAAGUCUGGUGUGAACGGCCGGGGCUCAAAUUCUGUACGGCCCUUGAUACUGGCGAGCUAGAAUCCGGUAGAGGUAAAGGGAAUUCCUGGUGUAGCGGUGAAAUGCGUAGAUAUCAGGAGGAACAUCGGUGGCGUAAGCGCUUUACUGGGCCGUAAUUGACGCUGAGGAACGAAAGCCAGGGGAGCAAAUGGGAUUAGAUACCCCUGUAGUC
rnacentral:rRNA from 1 species